rfam:Drosophila melanogaster chromosome 3L.
GGUUUUUGUGAUGACAUAGCUAUUUUACCUUGGGACACCUAUGAAAUGCCUUGAUUAGCGUAAACGUCAAUAUCUGAUAAAU